rnacentral:rRNA from 1 species
CCUACGGGGGGCUGCAGUGGGGAAUAUUGGACAAUGGGGGGAACCCUGAUCCAGCCAUGCCGCGUGUGUGAAGAAGGCCCUCGGGUUGUAAAGCACUUUCAGUGAGGAAGAACGCCUGGUGGUUAAUACCCAUCAGGAAAGACAUCACUCACAGAAGAAGCACCGGCUAACAUCCGUGCCAGCAGCCGCGGUAAUACGGAGGGUGCGAGCGUUAAUCGGAAUUACUGGGCGUAAAGCGCGCGUAGGUGGCUUGAUAAGCCGGUUGUGAAAGCCCCGGGCUCAACCUGGGAAUGGCAUCCGGAACGGUCAAGCUAGAGUGAAGGAGAGGAAGGUAGAAUUCCCGGUGUAGCGGUGAAAUGCGUAGAGAUCGGGAGGAAUACCAGUGGCGAAGGCGGCCUUCUGGACUGACACUGACACUGAGGUGCGAAAGCGUGGGUAGCAAACAGGAUUAGAUACCCUAGUAGUC